rnacentral:rRNA from 1 species
UACACAUGCAGUCGUACGAGAAUUUAUAUUUUAAAUUUAAGUGGCGGACGGGUGAGUAACACGUGAGAAUUUACCUUUAGGUUGGGGAUAACAACCGGAAACAGUUGCUAAUACCCGUAGUGGCCGUAACGGUUAAAGAUUAAAUUCGCCUAGAGAAAAGCUCGCGGCUGAUUAGCUUGUUGGUAAGGUAAUGGCUUACCAAGGCGACGAUCAGUAUCUGGUUUGAGAGGAUGAUCAGACACACUGGAACUGAGACACGGUCCAGACUCCUACGGGAGGCAGCAGUGGGGAAUUUUCCGCAAUGGGCGAAAGCCUGACGGAGCAAUACCGCGUGAGGGAUUGACUGCCUACGGGUUGUAAACCUCUUUUUUCAGGGAGGAAUAAUUGACGUUACCUGAAGAAUAAGCAUCGGCUAACUCCGUGCCAGCAGCCGCGGUAAGACGGAGGAUGCAAGUGUUAUCCGGAAUUACUGGGCGUAAAGCGUCUGUAGGUGGUUUAUUAAGUCAAUUGUUAAAUCUUGGAGCUUAACUUCAAAAUUGCAGUCGAAACUAAUAUACUUGAGUAUAGUAUAGGUAAAGGGAAUUUCCAGUGGAGCGGUGAAAUGUGUAGAGAUUGGAAAGAACACCAAUAGCGAAAGCACUUUACUGGGCUAUUACUGACACUCAGAGACGAAAGCUAGGGUAGCAAAUGGGAUUAGAUACCCCAGUAGUCCUAGCUGUAAACUAUGGAUACU